rnacentral:rRNA from 1 species
CCUACGGGAGGCAGCAGUAAGGAAUAUUGGUCAAUGGAGGCAACUCUGAACCAGCCAUGCCGCGUGCAGGAAGACUGCCCUAUGGGUUGUAAACUGCUUUUAUACGGGAAUAAACCUUGAUUCGUGAAUCGAGCUGAAUGUACCGUAAGAAUAAGGAUCGGCUAACUCCGUGCCAGCAGCCGCGGUAAUACGGAGGAUCCAAGCGUUAUCCGGAUUUAUUGGGUUUAAAGGGAGCGUAGGCGGCCUAUUAAGUCAGGGGUGAAAGACGGUGGCUCAACCAUCGCAGUGCCUUUGAUACUGGUAGGCUUGAAUGUAGUUGAGGUAGGCGGAAUGUGACAAGUAGCGGUGAAAUGCAUAGAUAUGUCACAGAACACCGAUUGCGAAGGCAGCUUACUAAGCUAUGAUUGACGCUGAGGCUCGAAAGCGUGGGGAUCAAACAGGAUUAGAUACCCUGGUAGUCCACGCCCUAAACGAUGAUAACUCGAUGUUGGCGAUAUACAGUCAGCGUCCAAGCGAAAGCGUUAAGUUAUCCAACCUGGGGAGUUAGCCGCAAGGGUUGAAACGUUCAAGAGUAGUUAGGCGNGAGAGAGCGACGACGACGACGAGGAGGAGGAGG